GACGUAGGGCGCGAGCGUUGUCCGGAUUUAUUGGGCGUAAAGAGCGCGCAGGCGGUCGUUCAAGUCGAGUGUGAAAGCCCCCGGCUCAACUGGGGAGGGUCACUCGAUACUGAUCGACUCGAAGGCAGGAGAGGGAAGCGGAAUUCCCGGUGUAGUGGUGAAAUGCGUAGAUAUCGGGAGGAACACCAGUGGCGAAGGCGGCUUUCUGGCCUGCUCUUGACGCUGAGGCGCGAAAGCUAGGGUAGCAAACGGG
rnacentral:rRNA from 1 species